UAAUUGAAGAGUUUGAUCAUGGCUCAGAUUGAACGCUGGCGGCAGGCCUAACACAUGCAAGUCGAGCGGUAACAGGGGAAGCUUGCUUCUCGCUGACGAGCGGCGGACGGGUGAGUAAUGUAUGGGGAUCUGCCCGAUAGAGGGGGAUAACUACUGGAAACGGUAGCUAAUACCGCAUAAUCUCUUAGGAGCAAAGCAGGGGAACUUCGGUCCUUGCGCUAUCGGAUGAACCCAUAUGGGAUUAGCUAGUUGGUGAGGUAAUGGCUCACCAAGGCGACGAUCCCUAGCUGGUCUGAG
rnacentral:rRNA from 1 species